UACAGAGGGUGCGAGCGUUAAUCGGAAUUACUGGGCGUAAAGCGUGCGCAGGCGGUUUCGUAAGUCUGAUGUGAAAUCCCCGGGCUUAACCUGGGAACUGCAUUUGUGACUGCACGGCUGGAGUGCGGCAGAGGGGGAUGGAAUUCCGCGUGUAGCAGUGAAAUGCGUAGAUAUGCGGAGGAACACCGAUGGCGAAGGCAAUCCCCUGGGCCUGCACUGACGCUCAUGCACGAAAGCGUGGGGAGCAAACAGG
rnacentral:rRNA from 1 species